AGAGUUUGAUCAUGGCUCAGGAUGAACGCUAGCUACAGGCUUAACACAUGCAAGUCGAGGGGAAACGACAUCGAAAGCUUGCUUUUGAUGGGCGUCGACCGGCGCACGGGUGAGUAACGCGUAUCCAACCUGCCCAUCACUUGGGGAUAACCUUGCGAAAGUAAGACUAAUACCCAAUGACGUCUCUAGAAGACAUCUGAAAGAGAUUAAAAGAUUUAUCGGUGAUGGAUGGGGAUGCGUCUGAUUAGCUUGUUGGCGGGGUAACGGCCACCAAGGCGACGAUCAGUAGGGGUUCUGAGAGGAAGGUCCCCCANAUUGGAACUGAGACACGGUCCAAAACUCCUACGGGAGGCA
rnacentral:rRNA from 1 species